rnacentral:tRNA from 1 species
CGCGGGGUGGAGCAGCCUGGUAGCUCGUCGGGCUCAUAACCCGAAGGUGUCGGUUCAAAUCCGGCCCCCGCAACCA